rnacentral:rRNA from 1 species
UACCAGCUCUCCGAGUGGUAGGGAUGAUUAUUGGGCUUAAAGCGUCCGUAGCCGGCUUAGCAAGUCUCCUGUUAAACUCAGCGACCUAAUCGUUGAAUCGCGGGAGAUACUACCAGGCUAGGAGGCGGGAGAGGUCGACGGUACUUCUGGGGUAGGGGUGAAAUCCUAUAAUCCCGGGAGGACCACCAGUGGCGAAGGCUGUCGACUAGAACGCGCUCGACGGUGAGGGACGAAAGCUGGGGGUAGCGAACCGGAUUAGAUACCCGGGUAGUCCCAGCUGUAAACGAUGCGGGCUAGGUGUUGGGAUGGCUACGGGCCAUUUCAGUGCCGCAGGGAAGCCAUUAAGCCCACCGCCUGGGGAGUACGGCCGCAAGGCUGAAACUUAAAGGAAUUGGCGGGGAGCACCACAAGGCGUGAAGCUUGCGGUUC